UACGGGGGAGCAAGCGUUGUUCGGAUUUACUGGGCGUAAAGGGCGCGUAGGCGGCCAGCGCAAGUCAGUUGUGAAAUCUCCGGGCUUAACUCGGAAAGGUCAACUGAUACUGCGCGGCUAGAGUGCAGAAGGGGCAACUGGAAUUCUCGGUGUAGCGGAUGAAAUGCGUAGAUAUCGAGAGGAACACCUGCGGCGAAGGCGGGUUGCUGGGCUGACACUGACGCUGAUGCGCGAAAGCCAGGGGAGCGAACGGG
rnacentral:rRNA from 1 species